rnacentral:rRNA from 1 species
GACGAACGCUGGCGGCGUGCUUAACACAUGCAAGUCGAACGCUGAAGCUUGGUGCUUGCACUGGGUGGAUGAGUGGCGAACGGGUGAGUAAUACGUGAGUAACCUGCCCUUGACUCUGGGAUAAGCCUGGGAAACUGGGUCUAAUACUGGAUACGACAUGUCACCGCAUGGUGGUGUGUGGAAAGGGUUUUACUGGUUUUGGAUGGGCUCACGGCCUAUCAGCUUGUUGGUGGGGUAAUGGCUCACCAAGGCGACGACGGGUAGCCGGCCUGAGAGGGUGACCGGCCACACUGGGACUGAGACACGGCCCAGACUCCUACGGGAGGCAGCAGUGGGGAAUAUUGCACAAUGGGCGGAAGCCUGACGCAGCGACGCCGCGUGAGGGAUGACGGCCUUCGGGUUGUAAACCUCUUUCAGCACGGAAGAAGCGAAAGUGACGGUACGCGCAGAAGAAGCGCCGGCUAACUACGUG